rnacentral:rRNA from 1 species
UACGUAGGGUGCGAGCGUUGUCCGGAAUUACUGGGCGUAAAGAGCUUGUAGGUGGUUUGUCGCGUUGUUCGUGGAAUCUCACGGCUUAACUGUGAGCGUGCGGGCGAUACGGGCAGACUAGAGUACUGCAGGGGAGACUGGAAUUCCUGGUGUAGCGGUGGAAUGCGCAGAUAUCAGGAGGAACACCGGUGGCGAAGGCGGGUCUCUGGGCCGAUACUGACGCUGAGGAGCGAAAGCGUGGGGAGCGAACAGG